AUGCUCACUGCAGCACCGCAUGUACUAAAACUGGAACAUGCAGAGAAGAUGAGCAUGAACAGUGCACCAGGAUGACAAGCAAAUUUGUGAAGCAUUCCAUAUUUUU
ensembl:snRNA U6 U6 spliceosomal RNA